rnacentral:ncRNA from 1 species
UUGAGCCGUGUGCGGGGAAACUUGCACGCACGGUUCUGAGGAGAGGGAGUCGCAGAAAUGCGGCUCUCUUAUCCGAC